rnacentral:rRNA from 1 species
GACGAGCGCUGGCGGCGUGCUUAACACAUGCAAGUCGAGCGGUAAGGCCCUUUCGGGGGUACACGAGCGGCGAACGGGUGAGUAACACGUGGGUGACCUGCCUUUAGCUCUGGGAUAAGCCUGGGAAACUGGGUCUAAUACCGGAUAUGACUCCGCGGUGCAUGCUGUGGGGUGGAAAGCCUUGUGCGGCUGGAGAUGGGCCCGCGGCCUAUCAGCUUGUUGGUGGGGUGAUGGCCUACCAAGGCGA